UGCGANNUGUAAUGUGAAUUGCAGACUUCAGUGAAUCAUCGAAUCUUUGAACGCACAUUGCGCCCGCUAGUAAUCUGAUGGGCAUGCCUGUUCGAGCGUCAUUUCAGACCUCAAGCCCUGCUUGGUGUUGGGUUUCUACGGCUCCUGUAGGCUCCAAAAACCAGUGGCGGGCUCGCUAUAAGUCCGAGCGCAGUACAUGUAUCUCGCUUGGGAAGUGUAGCGGGCUCCAGCUGCAGUCCCCCUCAAUUUACACCACAAGGUUGACCUCGGAUCAGGUAGGAAUACCCGCUGAACUUAAGCAUAUCAAAAAGCCGGGAGGAAGG
rnacentral:rRNA from 1 species